rnacentral:lncRNA from 1 species
CUGGCCUCUCUCUGAGCCUUGUAUCAUCCAUAGGGAUGGGAGGGUAGAGGCGCUCCGUGUGCUGCUGGUCCGCAUGUAGCCUGGCACGGCCUUCUGGAGGGCAACUGCGCUCUGCUUAGUAGCAUCUGAUAUUUGUAUAUCUCAAGCCCUAGAAAUUUUGCUCCUGGGCGUUUAUCCCAAAGAUGCAUGCACAAGGGGAUGGAGAAGAGAGCUUAUGGCCUGAGGAUAACUUGCAAUCCUAAGAUGGAUAACCUGCAAUACAAGAAGUCAGUGGUGUGCCUGGAAUAUGCCCAGAGUGCUGAGAGUACAGGCUGUAACAGGCCUGGGGUAGACUGAAUGUGCCUGAAGUCAUCAAAAUGACAGUCUCAUUCAUGAUCAACCUGGGGCUCAAAACAUGGAAUUAAUUAUGGGCCAAGAAGACCAAAUUCCUUUUGUACUUUUCAUUUGGAUGUGAAGCGACCUCAAUGGCCACAUGUUUAAUGUGGCAGUGUCACAAGAUGAAAGGAGCUUGGGUGCUUAAGUCACCACUCAGAGAAGAAUUGCCCAG